AGCUCAAAAUAAAGCACUUUCCCACAUGACUGUGGGGACGAGCACUUCUGUGCUGUUUGGAAUUUUUAUAAUUAAAAAACAAAUACUGCCACAUUGAUGCGCAAGAAGGUUUAAUUGUUCAAAUAUUGUUUCAUAUUAAAAUAUAAAAAAAAAAAAAAUGUUUUCAAUAUAAAAAAAGUGUUUUCAAGUGUAAUAUUUCUGUAAAGGGACAGAAAAGUUGACUUUUCUGUAGAAUGACCCAUUCAUUGUAAAAUGAAGUAAAUAUUAAAAAUGAACAACUUUCAUGUUAGCCUAUGGGAAAAAAUAAUGGAGUAACUUCAACCUACUAACUAAUUAAAGAUGUCAUCAGAUCAUGUGUGCUUUCAGCAGUUAUCAUCUUAAACCUCAAAAUCAUGAUGCCCCCCAAUAGUAGGCUACUGAAUAUAAGAUGUGGGAUAAUAUAAGAAUGGGACAUUUUAUCCAAGUCAUCUCAAUGGUAAAAAGUGUCCCAAUCACCCUGAACUUGAGCUCUAAAAUAAUGUUAUUGACUUCAACUGAUGAAUGCAGCCAAAGAAAAGAUGAAGAAUGGAAAAGCACUUUGCUGGCAAAGAAAUUGGAAAAUAACACAGGUUACGCGCAUGUAUCCAUGGCAACGCUCGGCUGCGUAGACAGUUAACGGUCCUGCCGGUGAUUUUCUCAGAUGAGGCCCUGAGUUUUCUCUUUCGUCGGUCAAAAAGGUUAGAAGCCAUCGAAAAAACUGCCAUCGGACUACCACAGCUGACAACGAGAGACGCGCGUGCACAACUGCAUAACACACACACACACACACACACACACACACACACACGGAAAGAGCACAACAAUUAUGAAAC